rfam:Oryza barthii chromosome 1, whole genome shotgun sequence.
AAAACGAACAAACCCUGGUUUCUGUGUCCAACGUUUGACCGUCCGUCUUAUUUAAAAAACUUAUGAAAAAAAACUUAAAAUGACAAGUCACGCAUAAAAUAAUAAUCAUGUUUUAUCAUCUAACAACAAUGAAAAUACGAAUUAUAAAAAAAAUUCAUAUAAGACGGACAGUCAAAGUUGGACACGGAAACCCAGGGUUUGCCUGUUU